AGUUGUUUCAUCAAACGAAAGAAAUUUCAGCACAAGUUUACGUAAGUAAAGCAAAAGGAUGUCAAAUACAUGGAAAUACAAUUUUCUUCUCAUCGUCACUAUCGCAGUAAGCAUGGCGACGUCAAAAUAUAAAAUUCCGAGAGAUUGUAAACAUAAAGUUAACCCAAAGUGUUCAGAUUGUUGCCUUCGAGCAUCCAGAACCUGCCGCUAUGGGUGUGGUAGGAUCAAACCAGCCCCAUCAAAGAAUUGUUAUUGUAAAGUAAGCGAUAGCAAUAAAAAUUUCAUGUCAUUUUUUCAAAGUAAAAAAUGUCAUGAGAAAUGUAAUGAGAUAUACAAGAGCAAUGACAUGCCUUAUAUUGGAAAGAUAGCUAUCGAAGACAAACUUGGCUGGGACGGAAACGACGCAAGAAAUAAAGAAAUGGUCUUUGACUACUAAACAUUGGAAGAAUUUCACUUUAGGCUAUAUUCACGUUACAUAAAGUUUAAGAUGAUACAGUGUAUCUCUGUUAUUGUUAUUUUGUAUUAUAGCAUUAUAAUGUAGUUUUAGGCGAACAUGAUGUAAUAAAAUGAAAUAAAGAAUGCAUUCAUUGAAAA